CAGCCGCUUUAUUUUUCAAAGUAGAGCGUCUGGAUGACAAGUGAUAUAAAAAUGGUAAUUUAUGACAUUCGGAAUAGUAUCGGCUUUUUUAGCUUGUUGUCAAAGAUAAUGUCCAAGACGAAUAACCAAGAAGUUGGUUAUUGACUUCGGAAGAAAUGACAUUACGAUAAUAUUAUUGAAAAGCCCGAGUGUACCGAUUGUUGUUUAAAGCUAUUUAUAUAUUUUUAUGACGACAUACAAUUUAUGGAAAACACCAUACAGCAUGGCGUACAUGGGCAUGGACGCGAAGGCAAAACCAGCCGACAUGAUGUCAUCCAACCUUGGUAAGAUGUUAUAACAACACACACUGUAACAUAAAUUGCAAUGCAACCUGAUACACCGAGUAGUUUUAAUAUAUUCUUUCAUGCAUGUCCGUGCAACGAAAACGAACCGUUUAUAAUUGCUGGGACCACUCGAACAGUCGUAUACGAUAUAAAUACAUUUUUACGUGUAGUAUCGUUAACUUUAUGAAUACUUGAUGUAAAACUGCUAUGACUUCGAAAUAUCACCUUCAUCCGAGAUAAGUUUGUUGUAUCUAUCUAAAUAAGGGAGCCUGCAUCUUGAUAUGUGUAAAAAAAAAGGGGGGCGGAGAGAUACACAAUGUUUUACUCAUUCAAAGACAAACAAUCAAAGUGUUUCUAGAAGAUGCCAUUUUUUACAUAGUACACUAAACGGUCAAAAUGAUUUAUACAUUCGAUUUUCUGCAAAACAAAAGAUAGUUAAACAAUAUUUUCAGCAUCAAUGAAAAGAGGUGUCAAUGACUGCGACAGCAACCAGUGAACCCAUCAUCAUGAUUAAGAGUUUAUCAUGUAAACUAAAACAACAAGUGAAGAUAAAAUUACCAAAAUCUCAGCAUUACACAAAUAAAAUAAUGUGGUAUGAAUACCAAUGAGAAAUAUCCACCCAAGUUCAAAUUAUUUGGAUGUGAGUGGCCUUCAACAAUGAGAAAAAUCCAUGCAUGGUUUGGAUAAAGCAUACACACAGGGAAUGUGUCAAAGAGACACUGGGCAACCCGACCAAAAGAGCAGUAAACAGCCCAAUGGGUCGGGUCUUUAACAAAGCAAGAUAAUCUUGCACCCUUAAAGCGGGAUUUAGCUUGCCACCAGGACAAUAGUUUAUAAAAUAUAUUUCUAUUAUGGGUUUUUUUAAACAAUUUGUUUUUCAUAUAUAUGCUAUGCUGGUGACUAAAAUUUGAUAUGAUUUUAAUAUUUACUUUCUUUUGUAGACAAACCAAUGAUGAUUUAUGGACACAGAUUUUAUGUGUAAAAUGUGAAGAAUUAAAACAAAAAUGUAAUAUUCAGGAUUUUGAUUGUAUCAUAAACAUGCUUCAAUUUUAUUAGAACAAGAC
rnacentral:lncRNA from 1 species